UCUCCGUAGGUGAACCUGCGGAGGGAUCAUUACUGGAAUCGCAAGAUCCCACAACCCUGUGAACCUACCGAAACGUUGCCUCGGCGGGUGCCCGGCCUCCGCGCCGGGCGCUGCGCCCGCCGGCGGCCCCCUACUCUGUCUCUGCAGCGUGGCAUCUCAGAGUCCCAGAAAACAAGUUAAAACUUUCAACAACGGAUCUCUUGGCUCUA
rnacentral:misc_RNA from 1 species